rnacentral:rRNA from 1 species
CGGGUAGCAAUACCCAGUCGAGCGGCGGACGGGUGAGUAACGCGUGGAUAAUCUACCUUUUGGUGGGGGAUAACCCGGGGAAACUCGGGCUAAUACCGCAUAAGAUCGCAAGAUGAAAGGGGCGUUAAGUCCCGCCGGAAGAGGAGUCCGCGUCCGAUUAGCUAGUUGGUAGGGUAAUGGCCUACCAAGGCGACGAUCGGUAGCCGGCCUGAGAGGGUGAUCGGCCACACUGGAACUGAGACACGGUCCAG